CCGUGAAUUUGGUCGGGCUUUUCUUUUUGUUCUUUUGACUCGAACAAGACAUCUUCUCGUCGGUCUGCUCGCAGCUCGCGUUCCCUAAUCCCAUUCUGGCCAGUUCCGACCCCUCCGCCUGGGUGCCGCCGCCGGGGGCUACGCCGGUGUGCAGCCCCCAUCCUCCCUCCCUGCUGUUGUGUCGUCUGUGCUGCUCUGCUGCGAUGCCACUGCGGGCUCGUCGGCCCUGCUACACCUGUGCGCCAUCCCCCUACCCUGCUAUUGUGCUGCGCCACCGCGCGCUCGACCCGCCGAUGCCCCUGCUGUUGCGCCGUCGCCACCCAGUCGGCCCGCCUACCCCUGCUGCUCCUCCCUUCCAACUCUCCAGCCUCCGUCGUCGCCGCCCCUGCUGCUCCGUCGCCGCCAAGUACUCGAGCGGAUCAGGCGAAGUCAACAGAGGCAAGGAAAUUCCGAUUUUGUGCUCAUUGACGGUGAGGUCUCCUCGGUGCCUGCUAAGACAACAGAGGCGAGGCGUUUUCAAUCUCUUCUGAUUGGGGACUAGAAAUAUAUGUUUCAACAGAUUGCACUCCCCCGUCCAUGUUUUUGCACUGUUCUUUUAAAUGCAAUCACAAUAUUGUCAAGAUACAAUUGCACUUCCUUCUCUACAAGCUUGUGCUAUUCGUAACUUUUAAUUUUGCUCAAUUAUAACCACUUUGCAUAGCAUACAUGUAGUUCUGGAAUUUCUUAGCUGAUCAUAUUGUGAAUAAUCAGUGUUCUGAAGAAUAUAAAUAUUGGCAAUAUCUUUCUACACACUUGCAAAUUUGGAUUCUAAUAGAUUCUUUUAUCUUAUGCUGCUAAUAUAGAGGCAAAAGACAACCCAAUUGGAUCAUUCAUCUUUUUAGAAAACGAUUUUGCUAGCGCACAGGCGCCUGUUUCUUUUCUCCAAACCAGUCGAUGCGGAGGCUGUCGAUGUGUCUUUGCGAUUUGUUCUCUGGGCGCGCUGAGGUGGGAUUUUGUGCUGAGGUGUUUAGUCUCUGCUUGCGGGCCUUCCACUGUCUCUUCUCAAAAUCCAACCCACCGCUGUUCUUGUCUGCUCGGAAGGGGAAAGGAGCAUUUUGCUGCGAGCUUCUCGCCCUUGUUCCUCUCCGGCGAUUCUCGGGUUACGCUAGCGCAAUUCUUCCAGACCCUACAAUAAACAGCCCCUACUACUUGCUUUGUGCAAUUUCUGGUUACACUAGCGCAAUUCUUCCACUUUAGUAUAUUUUGAAUUUAAGACAGGCCACAGUAUUUGCAAUUACAAUACACAGCAAGUGCAAUUGAGCUUAUAGUGCCUACUAGUUACUCUGUGUUAUUUCUGUAUUAUUCGUCUGCAAUUCUGAAAUAUUAGUAUAUUUUUUUGAAAUGUAAGCUGGCUCCAGGAUUAUGCGAAUACAAUAAACAGAAGGCGGAAUUGAGUUUCUAGCGUCCACUAGUUGCUCUAAUGCAAUGUCUGUAUUAUACACGCGCAAUUAUGAAUUUAUUAGUAUAUUUUUGAAGUGAAGGCAGGCUACAGGAUUUGCAAUUACAAUAUACAUCAAGCGCAAUUGAGUUUCCAUUGUCUACUAGUUGCAAUAUGCAUUUUCUGUUUAUCCCUGCGCAAUUCUGAUUUUUUAGUAUAUUUCUUGAACUGACUAAGAGCUCAAUAAGGCCAACUAACUACAUUUGUAAUUUACAGCAAGUGCAAUUGAGUUCCUAUCAUUGCAUAGUUGCAUCAUGCAAAUUCUGUUUAUCUCGGCGCAAUUCUAUGAAUUUAGCUCACUAAGACAUUAUAGUACCCGAUUUUCUUCUGGAUGGAGGUAACUUUGAGUUUCUUCGUGUAGCUGUGCAGCUGCUUGUACAUUGAAGUGAAGGUGUGCUACAUUAUUGUGCAUUUGCAUUAUACAGUAAAUGCCAUUUUGUUUCAAAUACAACCGAGUUGCACUAUGCAAUUUAUGCUCGCCCCCAGUGCAAUUGUAGGAUUUUAGCUAACCAAGACUUGUUCAACAUGUUUUGUUUUGGAUGCAGGUAACUAAGAUUUGUUUUUUGUGUAAUGAAGGUGGGGGUACAGAAUUUGCCCUUCUACAUGCACAGUCAGCUCAAUUGUGUGUUCAACAUCAUCCAGUUGCAAUAUGCAGCCAGUUUGUAGAGAAGAGACACCGAAGCUGCAUCUAUACUUUUGAAGGGGAGAAGAACAGGGGCAGAACAUACCUUGAUGAUCCAAGGUCCGAGUUACUCCUUCCUGUUCCUUGGUGUGGUGGGUGCGCUAUUAAAAGAGCAAGUUAGUGCCCCUUAUUUGCUUCUGAUUCAUCUUCCCUCCCACAAAUCUGCAGCCUUCUCUCGAGAUAGCAAGAACUAGGAAGCAAGAACAAGCUAGGGAGUGGGGCGGCGGGUGGCGAGGCACAAGCAAGUAGUACCUUCCAUGCCUGGAGAUCUUGUGGCUGUAUAUUUCUAGGAAGUGAAACAAAUGGGACGAGAUGUUGUUAACAAAGGAGAAGGAUCAUUUUGGAGCUACCAUUUUUAGCAGUGUGGUUAUUUGUGCUAACCUUCAAGGAAAUAGGUCGUUUAGUAGUCUGUGUCAAGGGAAUUUGAAUGAUCUUAGUAGUCUAAAAGCACUAAGAAUGCAAGCUUUUGGUCCUGUAGCCUAUAAGCACCAAGAAUGCAAUUUUUUUGUUCCUGUAGCCUAUAAGCACCGAGAAUGCAAACUUUUGGUCAUGUAACCUAACCCCAAAUGGUGUGUUUUGUUCUGUCUUGUGUGUAUAUACUACUCAGUAUAGCUUUUGGUUCUGUCCUGUAGCAUUUCC